rnacentral:rRNA from 1 species
CAAUAGCGUAUAUUAAAGUUGUUGCAGUUAAAAAGCUCGUAGUUGGAUUUCUGGAUGGAGCGACCGGUCGGGCAUUAAUUUGUCUGCACUGGAGUCGGUUCCGUCCAUCCUCUUGGAAAGUGCGUCGGGCAUUAAGUUGUUUAGCGUAUGAUCCAAGUCGUUUACUGUGAAAAAAUUAGAGUGUUUAAAGCAGGCCUUCGCCUUGAAUACAUUAGCAUGGAAUAAUAAGAUAGGACUUUGGUCUAUUUUGUUGGUUUGCAGACCGAAGUAAUGAUUAAUAGGGAUAGUUGGGGGUAUUUAUAUUCCGAUGUCAGAGGUGAAAUUCUUAGAUUUUCGGAAGAUAAACUUAUGCGAAAGCAUUUACCAAGGAUGUUUUCAUUAA